rnacentral:ncRNA from 13 species
CAGUAGCUUAGUGGUAGAGCGUGGGAUUCAUACCCCCAAGGUCGCAGGUUCAAGUCCCGCCUGA